rnacentral:snRNA from 1 species
AGUAUGGCGCUUGGGGCAAUGAUGCAAUGAGUGAGGUAAAACCAAUUCAUGUCCAUUGCUGGUUGAAAACUAUUUUCAAACCCCCUUAUUGGUUAGUGUCAGUUAUGUGUCGGGGUAUCGGGUCCAAAAUUGGG